CCAGGCUAGGGGUCCAAUCGGAGCUGUAGCCUCUGGCCUCCGCCAGAGCCACAGCAAUGCGGGAUCUGAGCCGUGUCUGCGACCUACACCACAGCUCAAGGCUACGCUGGAUCCUUAACCCACUGAGAAAGGCCAGGGACUGAACGCGCAACCUCAUGGUUCCUAGUCAGAUUCGUUAACCACUGUGCCACGAUGGGAACUCCCCUUUUAAAAUUCUUAAAGAAUUAAAACAGGCUGUUCAAAACUAUGGUGUUAAUUCUCUCUUUACAAAAGGAAUCAUACAGGGAGUAGCUGAAGGAAAUCGUAUGAUUCCUGCUGAUUGGCAUAAUUUAACCUGUGCUGUGCUGUCACCUAGUGAAUAUUUGCAAUUUAAGUUUUGGUGGCAAGAUCAUGCCCAGACUACUGCUAGUCAUAAUCAGGCUCAAAAUCUUCCAAUUAAAAUGGAACAAUUGUUAGGGAUUGGUCCUUGGAGUAAUCUUCAAGAUCAAAUGAGAAUGAAUGAUUUGGCUAUUGAACAUAUUAGACAAUGUUGUUUAACAGCAUGAGAUAAAAUUGAAUCUAAGGGUCAAACAAAUACUUCUUUUUGAAAGAUCCUACAGGGCCCUAAGGACCCUCAUACUGAAUUGCUAGCUCAUUUACAAGAAGCAUUAAAAUGACAAAUUACUAACUCUGAGGCCUAUGAUAUUAUUUUUCAAUUGUUAGCGUAUGAGGAUGCAAAUACUGAUUGCACAAAGGCCAUAGAAUUGUUAAAAGGAAAAGCUAACCUUGCUGAACAUAUUAAAGCCUGUUGGGGAGUGGGGAUGGAGUCCUUUAAGGCCUCAAUGCUAGCACAAGCAAUGGCUAAUUCAAAAGUUAAAGACAAAUUUUCAGAAACAUGUUUUAAUUGUGGCAAGACAGGCCAUACUGAAAAACAAUGUCGCACUCCUCCACAAGCCAACUAAGUUGGGUCAGUUUGAAGCAGCCCAUUCAAUUCGUAAUUAUAGCUUCUCCUCAUUCUCCCACGGGAAUAUUGAUGCAAUCUGAAAAUAUUCUCGAGUGGCUUUUUCUUCCCAGUGAUGUCACAAAAUCUUUGUCUCUGUACCUGGACCUGAUGGCACAGGUACGGAGACAAAAAUGGCACGACCUUCUAAAAGGUCAUAUUCAUUGUGUACAAAUGUCCAGGAAAGAUUUGAAUCAUGUAAUUGUUAGCUUAACUGUUAAGGAGAUCCAAAAUUGUUUUCAAAACCAUAUAGGUUGGCAAUAGAUAAUCAUUAUCCAAAAAACCAUAUUCUACAAUUUAUAAAGUGAACUUAAUGGAUUCUUCCAAAAAAAGUGAAGGAUUCACCCACCAUCGAAGCCCCUGUGAUCUUUACUGAUGAGACUAGUAAAGGGAGGGCUGGAUAUGUGGCUAAUCAGUCUAAAAUUAUGGAGACUCCUGGGCUUUCCGCCCAACAGGCCGAACUAACUGCUGUAAUCCAUGCCUUGAGGGACUAUCCUGAGCCCAUCAGUAUCCUUUCUGAUUCGGCAUAUGUAGUUCAUAACUGCCAAAAUGAUUGAAACCACCACCAUGAAACAGAAUUUACCUGUCUUGUUAUUUGACUUGUUUACAGAAUUACAAACUGUUGUAAGGGAAAGAAGAUAUUCAUUUUAUAUUACUCAUAUCGUAUCCAUUUUAUAUUACUCAUAUAUUACAUACUAACUUACUUGGGCCUCUCGUUGCAGGAAAUAAAGAAAUUGACCGCUUGGUGACACCCGUGUUUCAAGAAGCUCAACAUUUUCAUGAUUUAACACACUUAAAGGUUCAAGGCCUUAAAAAGAGAUUUGGAAUAACAUGGGCUAAAGCUAAGACAAUUGUCCGUCAAUGUCCUGCAUGUCAAAUUACUAACAAUCCUUCUCAGUCCAGGCCUGGAGUUAAUCCUGGGGAUUUGUCCCAAAUGCUCUCUGGCAAAUGGAUGUUACUCAUUAUUCAUCUUCUGAAAAAUUGUCAUUUAUUCAUGUGUGUAUUGACACUUGCUCUAAAUUUGUUUGGGCUACUGCUCAAUCUGGUGAAUCUGCUAAACAUGUUCUUUGUCAUUUACAUGCCUGUUUUGCAGUUAUGGGCCUGCUGCAAGCAAUUAAAACUGAUAAUGGUCCAGCUUAUAUCAGUUCUCAACUUAAAAUAUUCCUGGAUACAUGGAAUAUUUUUCACUCCACUGGUCUCCCUUACAACCCCCAAGGACAGGCUAUUGUGGAACGAGCCAAUUUAUAUGUAAAACAGGCUCUUCAAAAACAAAUAGGGGGAGACACAGAAAUAGUUAAGUCAUGAAAAACACUUUUAAAUAAAACCUUACUCACUUUAAAUUUUUUAAAUUUGGCCUCAAAGGAAAAAACAGCUGCAGAAAGGCAUUUUAAUACAGAAUACUACAAGAUCAAUUUUUCCUCAGGCUGAACAGCCUUUGAUUUGGUGACAGGAUCCAUUAACAAACAUCUGGUCCCCGGAAAAACUUAUUACAUGGGGUAGGGGAUAUGCUUGUAUUUCACCAGGUCAUGGAUUACAACCUGUAAUCCAUCAAGAAGAAUCAAACCUUAUCAAAUGAGCGAGCCCGGGAAGCAUCCCUCUACUCUGGACCCCAGAAGAAGGAUGAUGGAUGAGAACAUACUGAAGAGACCCAGAUUCAUGAUUUGGGAUCCAGAGCUGCCCACCGUGGAUAUAGCAGCAACGUCUCGAGUGACAGCAACUCGAGUGUCGCUGCCGCAGACCCGAAGGGCUCAUCUUCUCACUUGGGGCCAGAUCAAACAUCUAACCCAAGAAGCCAAAAAUCUACUAAGAAGAGAAGGAAAACCUCUCACUCCAAAUAAUUUGGUCCUGGCUGUCUUUACUUUGGUUUCUGUCACAACGAGUAUUCCCUUAACAGCAGCGGGAGAAACUGAUUAUAUCUACUGGGCCUAUGUCCCCAAUCCUCCUUUAUUGAGACCUGUAGAAUGGGGUGAGGUUCCGGAGCAUAUAUAUUAAUAUAUAUAUAUAUAUGUUAAUGAUUCCUUCUGGGUCCCUGGGCCAGAGGAUGACAGACUAUCCUAUUUUAGAAAAGAAGAAGGGACACCUUUUAAUCAAAUUUUAGGGUUUAAAAAUUGGCUCAUUUGUAUAGGAAAAGGAACCUAACGUUCAACUCCUGAAACUCAGAUGUGGUUUUCAGGAAAUUUAGAUAUGCCCACCAGUGAAGAUUUACAUUUAGUCAUAGGCUGGAACUUCGCUUACCGUCAGGUGAAACCAGUUAAUAUGGGGAUGCCUAACAGGCCUUUAUGUUCCUUAAAAAGGACAGGUACCUCUGAGAGAAUGAAAAAUCAAAUUCAUUGGAAUAUAUGCAGGGCAGCAGAGGGGGUCAUACUGCUUAAUGGUUCCUAUGGAACUGUAUGGGAUUUGUCCCCUGAGGGGAAGCCGAUUCCUGCCUGUAUGGGCCAUCAACCUCUGUUUUCUGUUAAUGAAUUACUUUCUUGGAUGGUCUCCAGGCCAACAAAAAAUAGUAGCUAAAGCCAAAAGCCCCAUAAGUUGGAAAGAAAGGCCUUGUACCUCUCUAUCCUCAAUUUGGUAAUAACAAGCCUCAAGUUGACUUGUGGAAAAUUCCUCUUAGCUUUGAAAAUACUCAAAUCUGGGAUGGAAAUUAUACUUAUGAAAAGUCAAAAAGGAAUAUCAAUUAAUUUUUAAUUCCUUUGACAAUUGGUCCUUCUAUAUUAGUGUAUGUGUACAAGACCCCUAUGUUUUUCUGGUGUGAGACAUACAU
rnacentral:lncRNA from 1 species